AAUACUGUGUUUUUUUACACGCGAAACAUGAACACAUGUUAUAUUGCACACUAUAAACACAAUCAAAGCUUCAAAAAACCACGAAAAACGGGACCUUUAAUGAAUUUGGUAUAGAGCUUAAAUAUAAUGUACUCUGCCCAUCCCUCUCCAUAAAGAGUACAUAAAAGUCAUAAAAACAAGUCAAGUAUCUUUAGUGCAUGCAAUAAGAAACAUACUUAGAAACCAAAACUAAGAGCGGUGUAGAAACUUACUUUCCACUGUUGUAAACAUCAAUGAUAAUACAUCCACGGGAACUGCCCUAUUGCGUGCGUUUGUCUCUUAUCGGUCAUGAUUAGAUUUGGGUGUGGAGAUGAUUUCAGGGCUUUCAAGGCAACAUCUGCUUACGUCACAGGUGAGAGGUAUUGAAUUAUUUUUUAAUAAUAAAGGUUUAGAACCACAUAAAGGUCGUUUUCAUUUUUGGAUAAAAUUUAAAAUAAUUCUUAAUCUAAUCUAUUAGGUUAAACAUGAGUUUAAGUUUAAACAUGCAGAUGUUGAUGACAUUUUAUGAUCCCUAUUUAUGAACUUUAUCUUUAUAACCCCUUCUGCUCAUAAUUCAGAGCAGAUUCGAAAGUAACCUGCUUGUGGCCAAAGUUGUAAACAAAACCUGACACAACAGAAACCCUGCUGAUCUCAAACAGAGAAAGAAAUCCUAAUGUAACAUAAAGCAAUUACAGUAACACUUUACAAUAAAGUCUGAUUUAUUAACAUCAGUUAAUGCACUAACAACGAGUAGCCUCUUUGUUGUGCGUUCAUGAUAGUUCACAGUGCAUUAACUAUACAGAAACAACUUUUGAUUUAAAAAAAAAUUAUUAGAUUUAGUAAAUGAAAAUGACCAUCAAUUAAGAUUAAUAAAUAGUGUAGAAGUAUUCUUCAUUCUUUAUUAGGCAAGGCAAGUUUUAUUUAUAAAGCACAUUUCAUACACAAUGUUAAUUCAAAAUGCUUUACAUAGAAAAGGAAUUAAAAUAAUCAUAAAAUAAUCACAACAUAGGCAUAAGAAAUUAUGCCUGACUACCUGAAUCACAAAAUCCGGGGUUAGUUCAUACUAAUGCUUAUUAAUGUUAACCAAUGGAACCUUAUUGUAAAGUAUUAGUGAAAUGAAUAAUACUGGGACUAAUUUUUGAGGAAUGGUGUUAAGGAAAGCUGUUGAAAUCAUUUCCUAAACAAGAUAUCUACCAGCCCCAAUUUUUAAUAUUCUCAAACAAUAUUUAUAAUAAAAUAAAAGUGUUCUAAAGCUAUGCAAGCAAGCAAUUGGUCAGAAACAAAUGUGUUGUCUCAGCAAAAAAGAAUUCAUUUUAGUGGAUGUUACAUUAUGGAGUAUUAAAAUGCUGUGUCAUUCACCAGGAAUAUAUAUAAAAAAAAAGCUUUCUUCAUGGGGACCAAAAAAUGUCCCCAUGGUUUAUUGUUUUACCCGAAGGACUGAUGAGAUGUUAAUAUACUUAAUAUAAAGACACAAGUGUCUUAAACUGUACUAACAUUCAAAUUAAUCAUUUGAUACAAUGCACUUAUUGUGUACAUAUGAUUUAACAUUGUACUUAUAUUUGAAAAAUACCUGCAUAUAAUUACAGAUUUAAUACAUUUUUGUAAUUACAUCUAUAAUUACACUGUUAAUGUAUACCUUAUGCCUUAAACAUCCAUUCAACAAAACCUGUCCCUAACUUUAAUCCCACCCAGCCAAAGUGAUUUGCAAUAUAACAUGAAUACAAUAAGUGCAUUGUACCUAACAGUUAUUUAUAAUGUUAGUAGUAAUUAAAGACACCUAAUAUAAAGUGUGACCAUACAGUUAUACUGUUGUAUCUGAAUUGUUCACUGGAUUCAGAAACUCUAAAAUCCCUUCCAACCAAAUAUUCACUUUCUUUUCUGUGAAAACAUUGUGCCGGUCGUGACAACAUCUAAUCUAACUAAUGUGUCUGCACUGGAUUGGCUGCUGCAGGUCACCUUAUGCUUUGUGUUCUUUGAGGAGGCGUAAACAGUUUCUGAAGGAAGAGUAUAAAUAAUGGCUGAAGAUCCACUUCUCCAUAAAUAAGGCUGCAAUGCUCUAAAACUUCAACAAAUCAUCAGUAUGAUCAUAUCUGAGGGGAGUGAUGAAGAGGAUGAUGAUGAUGAUGAUGAUGAUGAUGAUGAUGAUGAUGAUGGAGAUGUAAAUGCUGCCGUAAGCGUCUGUUGCCAGGGGUAGAUGCUUGCAGCUUUUGACUCAGUAGUUGGCUGGAUCCACAAAAGUUGUAUUUGCUGAUAUAAGCCUAAUAUACAUUAGUCUUGCUGAGGCAAACACACAUCUUCUGUUGUGACAUCUUCGUGGCAAACCUGACACGUAUGAUCUCCUCGCAACAGUCCUGCUUGUUCAGUGGCAGGUCCAUCGCUUUUCUUCAGAACGCCUCUGCGUUUGUGUCUGUUUUUGCAACCCUGAAGAAACGAUGGAGAGAAAAAUGAAAUAUUCGUGGAGACGUGGAGGACCUGAUGGUUAAAGAGCUGCUGGUAUCUAGCAGCACACAUGACUCCAAAACUAACUUUUAAAGCAGGACUGACAGUUUUUGCAGUCAAGCUUUGCUGAGUAAUACAGAGAAAGGCUGGAUGGGCAUAUAACAGUAUAUGUGAAAAUGUUUUACAUUAGAUGCUUUUUGCACACAUAUAUGAGAGGUCAAUGCCCCUUUGAAGGCCAGAUGUAUUUGUUUUAAACAUGUUACAUGUUAAGUAGGAUACACUCUUAAAAAUAAGGGUUCGUUAUUCCAUAGGACAAAACUUUCCAACUUUCCAUUGCACAAAAGGUUCUUUAUAGUGGAAAAAGGUUCUUUAGAUUAUUCAAAUGUUCUUCAAAAUAAGAAAAAAUGGUUCUUUUAACAACUGUUCAAGGUUCUUUGGGGAGCCCAAAAUGGUUCUUCUGUGGCAUGACUGCAAAACCCCCUUAUCUAACCUUUAUUUUUUUGAGUGUCUGGGCUCACUGGCCCACAAAUUGUAUAGAUUGUGCUGGUUUUAUUCCAGUAUUUCAGUUAUCUGACUAUACACAGUAUGACACACUGUUAUUCAGUGCUGUUAAACAAAUGUUGCACAAUGUUGAGUAACUUAUAGUGUCUGUAUUGAGAAAUUAUCUCAUACAAACAUACAUUUAGAUCUAGCUAGAAGUGAAUCCUCUAAUGCUGCUUUCACAGUAGAGGUUCACAUUAUACUAUUGAGUGUAGCCAACUUGGUUAGUAGCAACGGGGACAUUAGCAAGUUACUUGUUCAAUUACAGUUUCAUUGUUUAAUGUGCUACCGGUAAUUCCCCCUUAAUAAAGUAUAAAAUAUG